CACACCGCCCGUCACACCAUGAAAGCCUAUUGUACCAGAAGUUAUUGUGCUAACCGUAAGGAGGCAGAUGCCUAAGGUAUGGUCGGUGAUUGGGGUG
rnacentral:rRNA from 1 species